AGAGUUCGAUCCUGGCUCAGGAUGAACGCUGGCGGCGCGCCUAACACAUGCAAGUCGAACGGCACCUGCCCUCGGGCAGAAGCGAGUGGCGAACGGCUGAGUAACACGUGGAGAACCUGCCCCCUCCCCCGGGAUAGCCGCCCGAAAGGACGGGUAAUACCGGAUACCCCGGGGUGCCGCAUGGCGCCCCGGCUAAAGCCCCGACGGGAGGGGAUGGCUCCGCGGCCCAUCAGGUAGACGGCGGGGUGACGGCCCACCGUGCCGACAACGGGUAGCCGGGUUGAGAGACCGACCGGCCAGAUUGGGACUGAGACACGGCCCAGACUCCUACGGGAGGCAGCAGUGGGGAAUCUUGCGCAAUGGGGGGAACCCUGACGCAGCGACGCCGCGUGCGGGACGGAGGCCUUCGGGUCGUAAACCGCUUUCAGCAGGGAAGAGUCAAGACUGUACCUGCAGAAGAAGCCCCGGCUAACUACGUGCCAGCAGCCGCGGUAAUACGUAGGGGGCGAGCGUUAUCCGGAAUGAUUGGGCGUAAAGCGCGCGCAGGCGGCCGCUCAAGCGGGACCUCUAACCCCGGGGCUCAACCCCGGGCCGGGUCCCGAACUGGGCGGCUCGAGUGCGGUAGGGGAGAGCGGAAUUCCAAGUGUAGCGGUGAAAUGCGCAGAUAUUUGGAAGAACACCGAUGGCGAAGGCAGCUCUCUGGGCCGUCACUGACGCUGAGGCGCGAAAGCCGGGGGAGCGAACAGGAUUAGAUACCCUGGUAGUCCCGGCCGUAAACGAUGGGCGCUAGGUG
rnacentral:rRNA from 1 species